UAGGGUGUAGCGCAGCUAGGUAGCGCGCUUGGUUCGGAUCCAAGAGGUCGCAGGUUCGACUCCUGCCACCCUGACCA
rnacentral:tRNA from 1 species